AACGAACGCUGGCGGCAUGCCUAACACAUGCAAGUCGAACGAGACCUUCGGGUCUAGUGGCGCACGGGUGCGUAACGCGUGGGAACCUGCCCUUAGGUUCGGAAUAACUCCCCGAAGGGGGUGCUAAUACCGGAUAAUGUCUUCGGACCAAAGAUUUAUCGCCUUUGGAUGGGCCCGCGUUGGAUUAGCUAGUUGGUAGGGUAAAAGCCUACCAAGGCGACGAUCCAUAGCUGGUCUGAGAGGAUGAUCAGCCACACUGGGACUGAGACACGGCCCAGACUCCUACGGGAGGCAGCAGUGGGGAAUAUUGGACAAUGGGCGAAAGCCCGAUCCAGCAAUGCCGCGUGAGUGAUGAAGGCCUUAGGGUUGUAAAGCUCUUUUACCCGGGAUGAUAAUGACAGUACCGGGAGAAUAAGCUCCGGCUAACUCCGUG
rnacentral:rRNA from 1 species